UACGUAGGUGACAAGCGUUGUCCGGAUUUACUGGGCGUAAAGCGCGCGUAGGCGGCUUUGUAAGUUAGAGGUGAAAGCCCGGAGCUCAACUCCGGAAUUGCCUUUAAGACUGCAUCGCUAGAAUCAUGGAGAGGUGAGUGGAAUUCCGAGUGUAGAGGUGAAAUUCGUAGAUAUUCGGAAGAACACCAGUGGCGAAGGCGACUCACUGGACAUGUAUUGACGCUGAGGUGCGAAAGCGUGGGGAGCAAACAGG
rnacentral:rRNA from 1 species